UGGCCAACAUGGUGAAACCCCGUUUAA
rnacentral:piRNA from 1 species